rnacentral:lncRNA from 1 species
CUACAGUUGAAAUCACGCUUUUAAUCCCAGAAAAACGAUCUUAUUUACCUUUAAAAGGCCAUUUAAGUGCCUGAUUAAAGGGAUUAUUACUGUUGUUUUUACUGUUGUUGUUUACCUCAGGUUUUGAGUGAUCGGCUGACCCUAAAGCGCUGACUCAGCUCUCGGUCGGUCCGGAUCUCUGGUGUGAGACAACGUGCAGCCCUAAUCUGAAGCUCUACAGAAAAAAGAUGGCGGCUGUGACACAUAAAUGGCUAUAUCAUCAAACAUCACAAAAAACGCUCAGAUGUCGCUCAACGAACAAAUUAUUGUGUGAAUUAUGUCCACUGGAGGACAGCCCUGCCAGUAGCUGCGGUAUCUCAGAGAACGAAGAAAGUUCACAAACGGUCAACAA